rnacentral:rRNA from 1 species
UAUAGGUUUGGUCCCAGCCUUCCUGUUAACUUUCAAUAGACUUAUACAUGCAAGCAUCCACGCCCCGGUGAGUAACGCCCUUCGAAUCACACAGGACUAAAAGGAGCAGGUAUCAAGCACACACUCUUGUAGCUCACAACGCCUUGCUUAACCACACCCCCACGGGAGACAGCAGUAACAAAAAUUAAGCCAUAAACGAAAGUUUGACUAAGCCAUAUUGACCAGGGUUGGUAAAUCUCGUGCCAGCCACCGCGGUCAUACGAUUGACCCAAGCUAACAGGAGUACGGCGUAAAGUGUGUUAAAGCAUCAUACUAAAUAGAGUUAAAUUUUAAUUAAACUGUAAAAAGCCAUAAUUAUAACAAAAAUAAAUGACGAAAGUAACCCUACAAUAGCUGAUACACCAUAGCUAAGACCCAAACUGGGAUUAGAUACCCCACUAUGCUUAGCCCUAAACACAAAUAAUUAU